GUGUUGUGAAAUGUUGGGUUAAGUCCCGCAACGAGCGCAACCCUUAUCCUUUGUUGCCAGCGAUUAGGUCGGGAACUCAAAGGAGACUGCCAGUGAUAAACUGGAGGAAGGUGGGGAUGACGUCAAGUCAUCAUGGCCCUUACGACCAGGGCUACACACGUGCUACAAUGGCGCAUACAAAGAGAAGCGACCUCGCGAGAGCAAGCGGACCUCAUAAAGUGCGUCGUAGUCCGGAUUGGAGUCUGCAACUCGACUCCAUGAAGUCGGAAUCGCUAGUAAUCGUGGAUCAGAAUGCCACGGUGAAUACGUUCCCGGGCCUUGUACACACCGCCCGUCACACCAUGGGAGUGGGUUGCAAAAGAAGUAGGUAGCUUAACCUUCGGGAGGGCGCUUACCACUUUGUGAUUCAUGACUGGGGUGAAGUCGUAACAAGGUAACCGUA
rnacentral:rRNA from 1 species